rnacentral:ribozyme from 1 species
CCACAAAUACAAAUGGAGAAAAAGAAAGUGAACACAAAAAAAAAAGCUGUGGAGCCUGGCUUAACAUGAUGUUGUGGCCUAUUUCUUUUUUUUUUCUCUCUCUCUAUCCAUUCUCUCUCUCCCCUCUCUCUUAAGAAACUCGAAGCGAGG